GUCCACACCGUAAACGUUGGGCGCUAGGUGUGGGAUCCAUUCCACGGGUUCCGUGCCGCAGCUAACGCAUUAAGCGCCCCGCCUGGGGAGUACGGCCGCAAGGCUAAAACUCAAAGGAAUUGACGGGGGCCCGGCACAAGCGGCGGAGCAUGCGGAUUAAUUCGAUGCAACGCGAAGAACCUUACCUGGGUUUGACAUACACCCUGCCGCUCCAGAGAUGGGGCUUCUUUUGGGGUGUACAGGUGGUGCAUGGCUGUCGU
rnacentral:rRNA from 1 species